rnacentral:rRNA from 1 species
UGCUAACGUCCGUAGUGGAGAGGGAAACAACCCUGACCUACAGCUAAGGCCCCCAAUUCAUGGCUAAGUGGGAAAGCAGGUGGGACGACCAAAACAACCAGGAGGUUGGCUUAGAAGCAGCCAUCCUUUAAAGAUAGCGUAACAGCUCACUGGUCUAAAUAAGUUGUCCUGCGGCGAAGAUGUAACGGGGCUCAAGCCAUGAGCCGAAGCUUAGGAUGCGUGAGCAUGGUAGCGGAGCGUAGUG